AUGAACGCUAGCGACAGGCCUAACACAUGCAAGUCGAGGGGCGAACGGGGCGUAGCAAUACGCUGCCGGCGACCGGCGGAUGGGUGAGUAACGCGUAUGCAACCUGCCUUCAGCAGGGGGAUAGCCCGUUGAAAGACGGAUUAAUACCCCAUAACACAGGGGCUCCGCAUGGAGUAUUAUUGUUAAAGGGAUGCUUCCUUCGGGGGUAUUCCGGCUGAAGAUGGGCAUGCGUUCCAUUAGGUAGUUGGUUGAGGUAACGGCUCACCAAGCCUGCGAUGGAUAGGGGAACUGAGAGGUUGGUCCCCCACACUGGUACUGAGACACGGACCAGACUCCUACGGGAGGCAGCAGUGAGGAAUCUUGGUCAAUGGACGGAAGUCUGAACCAGCCAUGUCGCGUGAAGGAGGACGGCCCUAAGGGUUGUAAACUUCUUUUGCAGCGGAAUAAAGUAUUCCACGUGAUGGGAUAUUGCAAGUACGCUGCGAAUAAGGAUCGGCUAACUCCGUG
rnacentral:rRNA from 1 species